rnacentral:rRNA from 1 species
UACAGAGGGGGCAAGCGUUGUUCGGAAUUACUGGGCGUAAAGGGCGCGUAGGCGGCCUUCUAAGUCGAACGUGAAAUCCCUGGGCUCAACCCAGGAACUGCGUCCGAUACUGGAAGGCUUGAAUCCGGGAGAGGGAUGCGGAAUUCCAGGUGUAGCGGUGAAAUGCGUAGAUAUCGGGAGGAACACCAGUGGCGAAGGCGACUUCCUGGCCUGUUCUUGACGCUGAGGCGCGAAAGCUAGGGGAGCAAACGGG